GGUGGCUCAGUGGUACAGCUCUUGCCUUGAACGCAUGAGGCACUGGGUUCGAUUCCUCAGCACCA
rnacentral:tRNA from 1 species